ACCGAGGUGCAUAUCAUGACGAUAGAUUGGCUAGACCCCUAUCGGUAUGCAGCCACAUACAGAACCCCUACGCUGUCAACCCCGGGCUUCUAUACAGUGACUGGCCAUGGCUACGCAAAUGGGCAGAGGCUAUUCAAAGGUAUAUUUGAGCGUGAGCAGGAUUAACUCCACACGCGUGAUGGCCUGCAUCGCCGCGUAGAGCCAUGGCCACGCCGGAUGAAGCGGAAGCUGCCGGUUUCCGACGA
rnacentral:misc_RNA from 1 species